rnacentral:rRNA from 1 species
AUUGAACGCUGGCGGCAGGCCUAACACAUGCAAGUCGAGCGGUAGCACAGAGAGCUUGCUCUCGGGUGACGAGCGGCGGACGGGUGAGUAAUGUCUGGGAAACUGCCUGAUGGAGGGGGAUAACUACUGGAAACGGUAGCUAAUACCGCAUAACGUCGCAAGACCAAAGAGGGGGACCUUCGGGCCUCUUGCCAUCAGAUGUGCCCAGAUGGGAUUAGCUAGUAGGUGGGGUAACGGCUCACCUAGGCGACGAUCCCUAGCUGGUCUGAGAGGAUGACCAGCCACACUGGAACUGAGACACGGUCCAGACUCCUACGGGAGGCAGCAGUGGGGAAUAUUGCACAAUGGGCGCAAGCCUGAUGCAGCCAUGCCGCGUGUAUGAAGAAGGCCUUCGGGUUGUAAAGUACUUUCAGCGGGGAGGAAGGCGAUAAGGUUAAUAACCUUGUCGAUUGACGUUACCCGCAGAAGAAGCACCGGCUAACUCCGUGCCAGCAGCCGCGGUAAUACGGAGGGUGCAAGCGUUAAUCGGAAUUACUGGGCGUAAAGCGCACGCAGGCGGUCUGUCAAGUCGGAUGUGAAAUCCCCGGGCUCAACCUGGGAACUGCAUUCGAAACUGGCAGGCUAGAGUCUUGUAGAGGGGGGUAGAAUUCCAGGUGUAGCGGUGAAAUGCGUAGAGAUCUGGAGGAAUACCGGUGGCGAAGGCGGCCCCCUGGACAAAGACUGACGCUCAGGUGCGAAAGCGUGGGGAGCAAACAGGAUUAGAUACCCUGGUAGUCCACGCCGUAAACGAUGUCGACUUGGAGGUUGUGCCCUUGAGGCGUGGCUUCCGGAGCUAACGCGUUAAGUCGACCGCCUGGGGAGUACGGCCGCAAGGUUAAAACUCAAAUGAAUUGACGGGGGCCCGCACAAGCGGUGGAGCAUGUGGUUUAAUUCGAUGCAACGCGAAGAACCUUACCUACUCUUGACAUCCAGAGAACUUNNCAGAGAUGNNUUGGUGCCUUCGGGAACUCUGAGACAGGUGCUGCAUGGCUGUCGUCAGCUCGUGUUGUGAAAUGUUGGGUUAAGUCCCGCAACGAGCGCAACCCUUAUCCUUUGUUGCCAGCGGUCCGGCCGGGAACUCAAAGGAGACUGCCAGUGAUAAACUGGAGGAAGGUGGGGAUGACGUCAAGUCAUCAUGGCCCUUACGAGUAGGGCUACACACGUGCUACAAUGGCGCAUACAAAGAGAAGCGACCUCGCGAGAGCAAGCGGACCUCAUAAAGUGCGUCGUAGUCCGGAUUGGAGUCUGCAACUCGACUCCAUGAAGUCGGAAUCGCUAGUAAUCGUAGAUCAGAAUGCUACGGUGAAUACGUUCCCGGGCCUUGUACACACCGCCCGUCACACCAUGGGAGUGGGUUGCAAAAGAAGUAGGUAGCUUAACCUUCGGGAGGGCGCUUACCACUUUGUGAUUCAUGACUGGGGUGAAG